rnacentral:rRNA from 1 species
AGAGUUUGAUCCUGGCUCAGGAUGAACGCUGGCGGCGUGUUUAACACAUGCAAGUCGAGCGAGAAGCUCUCGAGUUGAUUCUUCGGAUGAAACAUGAGAGUGGAAAGCGGCGGACGGGUGAGUAACGCGUAGGCAACCUGCCCCUUGCAGAGGGAUAGCCUCGGGAAACCGGGAUUAAAACCUCAUAAUGCGGCACUGUGACAUCGCAGAGCCGCCAAAGAUUUAUCGGCAAGGGAUGGGCCUGCGUCUGAUUAGCUAGUUGGUGGGGUAACGGCCUACCAAGGCAACGAUCAGUAGCCGACCUGAGAGGGUGAUCGGCCACAUUGGAACUGAGACACGGUCCAAACUCCUACGGGAGGCAGCAGUGGAGAAUCUUGCACAAUGGGGGAAACCCUGAUGCAGCAACGCCGCGUGAAGGAUGAAGGCCCUUGGGUCGUAAACUUCUGUUCUAAGGGAAGAUAAUGACGGUACCUUAGGAGCAAGUCCCGGCUAACUACGUGCCAGCAGCCGCGGUAAUACGUAGGGGGCGAGCGUUAUCCGGAAUUAUUGGGCGUAAAGAGUACGUAGGUGGUUUCCUAAGCAUGGGGUUUAAGGCAAAGGCUUAACCAUUGUUCGCCCCAUGAACUGGGUUACUUGAGUGCUGGAGGGGAAAGCGGAAUUCCUAGUGUAGCGGUGAAAUGCGUAGAGAUUAGGAAGAACACCGGUGGCGAAGGCGGCUUUCUGGACUGUAACUGACGCUGAGGCUCGAAAGCGUGGGUAGCGAACAGGAUUAGAUACCCGAGGUAGUCCCACGCCGAAAACGAAGAAUAAUAGGUGUCGGGGCCCACAGGGCUUCGGUGCCGCAGCUAACGCAAUAAGCAUUCCGCCUGGGGAGUACGGCCGCAAGGUUGAAACUCAAAGGAAUUUGACGGGGGCCCGCACAAGCAGCGGAGCAUGUGGUUUAAUUCGACGCAACGCGAAGAACCUUACCAGGUCUUGACAUCCAGUUAAAGCAGUAGAGAUAUUGUGUGCCCUUCGGGGCGAACUGAGACAGGUGGUGCAUGGUUGUCGUCAGCUCGUGUCGUGAGAUGUUGGGUUAAGUCCCGCAACGAGCGCAACCCUUGUCUUCAGUUACCAUCAUUAAGUUGGGGACUCUGGAGAGACUGCCGGUGAUAAACCGGAGGAAGGUGGGGAUGACGUCAAAUCAUCAUGCCCCUUAUGGCCUGGGCUACACACGUACUACAAUGGCUAUUACAACGUGCAGCGACCUGGUGACAGGAAGCGAAACACUGAAAGAUAGUCUCAGUUCGGAUUGAAGUCUGCAACUCGACUUCAUGAAGUUGGAAUCGCUAGUAAUCGCGGAUCAGCAUGCCGCGGUGAAUACGUUCCCGGGCCUUGCACACACCGCCCGUCA